UAUAAGAUGCCUGAUUAAAGGAAUAUUUUGAUAGAAUAUAUAAUGUAAAAAAAGUUACUCUUAUCA
rnacentral:tRNA from 1 species